AUUGAACGCUGGCGGCAUGCUUUUCACAUGCAAGUCGAACGGUAACAGGCCGCAAGGUGCUGACGAGUGGCGAACGGGUGAGUAAUGCAUCGGAACGUGCCCAGUCGUGGGGGAUAACGCAGCGAAAGCUGCGCUAAUACCGCAUACGAUACAUGGAUGAAAGCGGGGGACCGUAAGGCCUCGAGCGAUUGGAGCGGACGAUGUCAGAUUAGGUAGUUGGUGGGGUAAAGGCUCCCCAAGACAACGAUCUGUAGCUGGUCUGAGAGGACGACCAGCCACACUGGGACUGAGACACGGCCCAGACUCCUACGGGAGGCAGCAGUGGGGAAUUUUGGACAAUGGGCGCAAGCCUGAUCCAGCAAUGCCGCGUGCAGGAAGAAGGCCUUCGGGUUGUAAACUGCUUUUGUACGGAACGAAACGGUCCUGGUUAAUACCCGGGGCUAAUGACGGUACCGUAAGAAUAAGCACCGGCUAACUACGUGCCAGCCGCCGCCGUAACAC
rnacentral:rRNA from 1 species